AUGAGCAUCCAGAGAGGCUGCCUCUUGGGCCAGCUCUCCGUGACGCCCUUGUUCGUCAGCGACUUCACUGCUUGCUGGCUCGUCAACAUGGCAGCUUACGAGGCCUCCGUGGCCAUCACAUAUCCAUCAGACGGCUUCGCCAUCAGCUCGUACAUCUCUGCCCUAGCAAUGCUCAUGGACAAGGAAGAGGACGUGCACCAGCUGCGAGCCAAGCACCUCAUUCACAGCUUCUUCAGUGACCAUGAGCUGCUUGUUUUCUUCAAGAGCCUCGCCCGCCACAUGCGCCUCGGCCACCGCUACUUCGUCAUCACAGAGAAGAUUCACAACUUCAAGCGUGAAAGGCCUCUGAGAAUCACCAUGCAUAGGUUCGUCUACAACAACUUCAGGGUCAUCGUCGCGGUGCUCUCUAUUGUAAGUGUGCUCGUGGGUAUCUUCAGAACCUUGAUGAGUCUCAAGCAGCAUCAACCAUAG
rnacentral:rRNA from 1 species